rnacentral:lncRNA from 1 species
AGACGUGAGGUCCCUCAGGCUGCUACCUGCUUGGUGUGUGAAGAUUCAGCAUAAGAAGGCACUUAAAGAAUUCUAAACUUUUGGGACUCCAGUACCUGACAUUUUAGGGAUCCAUUGGGUAGAAAGAAGGCUAGGGGUUGGGAGCUCCACAGCAGUCUGCAGUCUCUCUGAUCAGCUGUAAGAGGUGUUGACUUUAGGUACCAAGAGUUCUGCGGUGUUCAUUGAUGGGCUUGAAAGCAGCACUUCAACUGUGAGUGCUGUGAGUGCUGCUACGUCAGAUGAUAACUAUUUUAAAGUAUUCUUGGCUUAAUUGAUUUCUGUUUAUCCUUAUUAUAGUUUCUUUAAAAGUAAUUAAGAUUUGAAGUAAAAGAAAAAUCAUUUUGGCACAAAGACUGACACUCACAUACUGUGUUGACACUUAGAAAAGAAGAAAGUGCCUGCCUCAAGGAGUUGGAAUUGUUUGGUGCCUAAUGGGUCAAGUUCAUGAUACCCUUCAGCUCUCUCUUUUAGAGAGCUGAAACCACUGGGCAUGGUACUGGAUUAAAAAUUGAGAUCAAUGCAUACAUAAACCUAGCUUUUUCAAAUAAAUGGGCACCUUUUCCCUUCAUUGCUGAGUUUUUAUCAGAUUUGACAUUUAUGUCUCAUAAAUCUCAGGCCUGGAUGGAUAUGCACAAUAGUUUUGAUGUAGUUGAUGUUUUAAUAACUUGGUUUACCAUAGUUUUUAUUCCAAGUAUGGUUUUACACAGUCUGAAGAAUGUCAGAGAUAGAAUCUCUUUGAACCAGAGAAAAGUUAAUUCCAUUGAAAGAACAGAGUGGUGUUAACUGGAAGAUGGACUUGCAUAGAACUAGAAGAAAUAGGAAGAAACCUAGAUUGAAAACCAUGCAAAACUGGCAGGUCAAAUGUAAGAUGACAGACGUACCUUUGAGUGUUUGCAGAUAGAUGCCUCACUUGAGAGCCACUCUUUACAGGCAUCUUGGCCCAUGAGCUGUAAAGGAUCAGUCUUAUCCUGGAAUGGUGUGUGUUGAAACUCACCUCAGCCCUGGAACAGCUGCACGUUCUUAACUCCCCAGCCAUGGGAUAUCCAGAAACUCAGCUUCGAGCCAUUUUACAUAGCCACGAAAUCCUGGGACCCCACAGCCAAGAGCAGGAGAAAUUGAAGUCCUACAGUCAGAAGGCAGUGUUGUGGACAGAGGCACAGACACAAAUGAGACUUUGAGCUGCUGGCCCAUCAGCGAUACCCUCAGCUGUCCGCAGGGCCACAGGUUUUGUACCCUUAGUUGGAUAUUCUUGCGCUGGCCUCAUACAACUCCAAGGAUCUGUCAACUGAUACUUGGGUCAGUUGUAAGGGGAUUUAUACUGGAAUUCUUUGCCUAGCAUUAAGUAAGCAAUUACAAAAUCAUAAAGAUGUCAGUACCAAAAGAAAUCCUUUGGACUUUCUUGGAUGUACAUUUCUGUAGCUCCCCAGCUCCUGGGCAACCUGGAGAUUGGCCUUCAGCAAUGAACUCUGAGUCCUGCCACCCUUGGGUUUCCCACUGGGACAUCAUCGGCAGAAACAGUGGCUCACAACCAUCUCUGUUCUUUUUCAGCUGAUGGCAUUUAUUUGCCUUUGAGUUUAAAGUUCUGUUCAGAACUGACAACAGAAAUAGCUUAUUUUUGACCACCCUGGCACAUCAGAAAACCUGGGUCAGAACAUUUUAACACCAAUGCUGUCCUCAUGGAGGCCGGAAAGUAGCAAGAGAAUGAGUUAGUAGUGGGAAUUAUGUCAAGGAAAAUUGUGCACCCUUCCUCCUUGUGGACCAGCAGCACAUGAACAGGAAGCGACACCAUCCGGAACCACCAGGAGAGACGGAGUGAGACCCCAGACCGCCAAGCAUCAAGCCUCUAGAGCAGUCUUCCUUAGGACAACUCACCAUUAUUUGAAGAACUUCAGUCAGAUGUCUCUUUGCCCCAAAGAGUUUAGCCUAAAUACUUUUCACCUCAGUGUCUCUUGGGUCAAGUCUUAGCAUCCACCUCAGAAGCCUGGUACUGCUGAGACACAGCACCACCCCCAUAUCUGGUCGUCUUUCCCAGGUGAAUGAAAACAAGAGUUUUUGGAUUAAUGGAAGAAAUCACCUGUUAAGCUUUGUUCUUCAAUCUCCUGCCCAUUACCAUAACCCCUUUAAUUUUUCUUCUAAGUAGACAGUCCAUGUUAAUGAAAUGUGCUUUUGGCUGAGUUGGGGAAUUCAGAGUUAGGGUUUCUACAUUGGUGACCAGUCAACCCUACUGCAUGUGCAUCUUCAAGCCUCAAAGUUUUCAUGUGAACAAGAACAGCCUCCUGGUCCCAGGGUGGUGGUUAUAAAGUUUACUCUGAGGACAAAGGCCUUGAUUCACAGAUACUUUUUCCUGAGUGACAGUCACUAAGUACCCUUAAUGAGGAUUUUGGUGGUUCUCAAGCUGCCUGAAAGUGAAUUUGGCUCCAGUCCCUGAAGGGCAGGCUUGCAUCCGCAUCAAGCAGCUUGGUCCGAGGUAGUUGCCCAGGGCCCAUACUGGCUUUGCAGACAUCCUCCUUUGUGUGCAGCAUGGAGCCAGGAGUACCAAAUGGACUUCAGUUGAACACCUUCAGGCUUCUGACAGCAUUUCCACCCCACAGUAUUGGUGUUUGUUUGCAUAUCUUUCUCUUGCCAGAAAUUUGCUUUGGGAGAGUUAACGCAAACAGCAUUAUGGUGUCUUUUUCAUAUUACAAUUACAGAUUUAUAGAACGCGUGUAAACUUGGAACCUGACCUCAGACCUGCAGGGGUAAAUAAGAGGGCAAGUUGGGGAAGUUCCUGUUGUGGCUCUUCGGAAAUGACUGACUAGCAUUCCUGAGGAUGCAGGUUUGAUUCCUGGCCUUGCUCAGUGGGUUAAGGAUCUGGCGUUGCCAUGAGUUGUGUAGGUUACAGAUAUGGCUCAGAACCGGUGUUGCUGUGGCUCUGACGUAGGCUGGCAGCUACAGCUCUGAUUCUAUGCCUAACCUGGGAACCUCCAUAUGCCACGGAUGCAGCCCUAAAAAGACAAAAGAAGAAGAAAGAAGGCAAGUUGGUGUUGCUCAAGCUUAUAAGGGUUUAUCACUUUUUUCCCUCAGCUUUAUUGAGAUGUAACUGACAUGUAACAUGGUGUAAGUCGAAGGUGUACAAUGUGAUUAUAUUUAACACAUAUAAUAUUGUGAAGUGAUUACAACAGUAAGAUUAGUAAACAUGUCCCCGACCUC